UAAGCCUGCCAGCCUGAUAGAGCCAGCACCAACAUGAAUAUCAACCCCAAAGCUCUUGACCUAAUAAAAAAUAGCUUGAUGGGGGAAUCUGAAGCUUUUGUAAAAACUAGUGACUGAGUUUGAGAUAGGGAAAGAAUUUUAGGAGGCAUCCGCCCCUCUUUCCUCUUGGUCAAUGAUGGCUUCUGCCUAGUUGUGCUUUCUGCAUGUUGUGGGCGAAAACGGAGAUAAAAGUAAUUAUUCUACAGCAACUUAAUCUUUUGCUUAUAUUUGGUAGAAAGUGAUAAACUUCCAACUUUCAGUCAUUAUUUAGCAUGUAAUGUAUAAAUUAGCUGGAAAAAAUCUGUUUGAAUAGAUGAAGACAUAUUUUCUACGGAUUUUACCUUGAAAGUGAGAAAUACAAAGAUGGAGAAAUCAAGGCGCAAAGAGGUUAAGAAGCUUGCCCAGGGUUUGCCGGGACAUAGAUGGGAGUACUAAUUCACAACUAGAUGGAGAACCUGAUACAAGCAAGCAGAACUCUGGAAGGCAACAUCUUGAGAGCCCUGAAGUGACAAUGGGAUUCUGGGAAAGUCAAUUCCUGGAGCCCAGUCUCUUUAUCUGCAAAAUGGAAAUAAUUAUUACAAUGGAGCCUCUCCUGCCUGCUGGGCGGCAUCACAGGAGACAGUGUUUUAGAAAGUCCUCUGUAUGUUUGAGGUAGCAUUAACACCACCUCCCCCUGCCCCCCGCCAAUAAGGGCCUACAAAAGAAACAGCCAGGGAAACUGAGUCAGUAAGCACUGGAUUUGGGAGUUUGAGUAUUUCCAAGCAGAAGUCAUGAGGUCAAACUUUGUAAUACUAAUAAAUAGGAAGAAGCACAGGAAUCCCAUUUCUUUGAUCAACUUAUUAAUUUUUUAGUAAAUUCUCUCUCAUCAAUUGUGCUAUAAUGUUUUUGCAUCCCAGAAAGUUUUAUACAAUAUCUUGUGUUUCAUGCUCCUUGUUCAUCAAUAUAAU
rnacentral:lncRNA from 1 species